AGUUGCUCAGACCCGCGGGAGCUGCCUCCGUGGUGGACUGCAGCUCCAGCUGGGAGCGUAUGAGCGGCAGGAGGAUCCGAAGUGGAGACAGAACUCCAAGGACAGGGCCACCGUGGGCGGUCACCCUGAAACUCGAAACAACGGGGGUGUUCCGCCCCAAGAAGCAGGAACUCCUACUUCGAAGUUCGACUGUGCCCUGAGCUAGGCCAAAUUGAAGGUAACCUGCCCUGUGCGCUUCUGGACAGCCACGAGCCCUUGCGCGGCCCCUGCAGAAGCAUCUGUGGGCGGCUGGCGGGUCAGAGACACCGGCAGGUCUCCCGGCGGUGCCCACGCGCCUGCAGUGACUGAUCCAGCCCUCUGCACAGUGAGCAGGGCUCCACAUGGCCGACAGCAGUUCCAGUCCUGGCCCGGCAGCUUGAAAAACAUAUUGGGUAUGUGUGCACGCAUGGCCCAAGUUCUGAUGGGAUGGAGAGACGGAGGAAAGAGGAAGUUUAAAAUAUACCUUAUAAGGGACCAGCAGGUGGUGUGGUGGUUAA